rnacentral:rRNA from 1 species
AUAUGCUUGUUCCAAAGAUUAAGCCAUGCAUGCAUAGAUAAUUUUGUAUCUCUCAGAAAUCUGCGAACGGCUCCGUAUAUCUGUUAUAACUCGUCGCGCCCUAAGAAAGGUUUGUAAGCGGAUAUGUAUCGGUAAUUCUGACAGUAAUACGUGUACCCGCAAGGCGCCCUGGCCCGUGGUUCCUUUAGAGAUCCGGGCAUAACGGGGCGGUCUCCAGAACUACUGAGCGCGAGUCGUUUGGGAAAAAGCUGGAGGGUUUAUUCUCCUCACCUGGCACGGGGGGAGCCGACGGAUUUCAGACCUAUCAACUAAAGGCCGGUGCAGUGCACCGGCCUGGUUUUAACGGGUACAGAGGAUCAGGGUUCGAUCCUGGAGAGGUAGCCUGAGAGAUCGCUACUACUUCUAAGGAAGGCAGCAGGCGCGCAACGUUCCCAAUGGGGGGGUUAAAGGUUCCCUGAGGACGUGACGGAAUAUAUCGAUGCCCCGGCCUUUAAGGCCCGGGCAAUUGAAAUGGGGGGAAAUUAAAUACUACUACCGAGUAACGAUUGGAGGACAAGUCUGGUGCCAGCACCCGCGGUAAUUCCAGCUCCGAUAGCAUCUAAUUAAGUUGUUGCAGUUAAAACGCUCGUAGUCGGAGUUCAGGCUAUGGAGGGCCUUGCCAGUUCUAACGGCGGCACGCCUCAACGCUACCGCUUAGUGAAGGACUUUGCGCCUCCGGAUAUAGCUUGUUAAUGUCCGGGCGGCUGUGAGCGGGUUUCGAACCGCGCCCGCCCGGGCCAUUUACCUUGAGGAAAUGUGAGAGCUCGAAUCAGGUCAGCUUGCGGACCGAUAAAACCUGUAGCAAGGAAUAAACGAAGACGCCUCCGCGCCUUGGUAAGCUGCGGAGUAAUGAUCGAUAGGGGAGAUCGGGGCGGGCCACAUGGUCGGGGUAGGGGUGAAAUCCGAUGAUCCUGGCCAGGUGAACUAGAGCGAAAGCAGCCCGCAAGUACUCUUUCUUUGAUCAAGAACGAAAGUCUGGGGAUCGAAGAUGAUCAGAUACCAUCGUAGUCCAGACCCUAAAUGUUGCCGACCAUGGAUGGGCGCAAGUCCAUCCCGACCCUGCCCGCACCUUGUAAGAAAUUAUAAGUUUAUGGGCUCCGGGGGGAGUAUGGUCGCAAGACUGAAACUUAAAGGAAUUGACGGAAGAGCACACAAGGAGUGGAGCCUGCGGCUUAAUUUGACUCAACACGGGGAAACUCACGAUGGCAAGAGAGGGGUACGAUAGCCUGCCUAACUGGCACGGUACGAUUCCCUCAGUGGUGGUGCAUGGUCGUUCUUAGUUCGUGGAGUGAUUUGUCUGGUCUAUUCCGCUAACGAGCAAGAUCCCGCCUUCUAAACGUUACGCGCCGUAUGCGCCCGGGGCCUCGGUCGGAGGAGGCGGCUCGUCCUCCGGGGCGGGUUUAGUCUCUUCUUACUGAGCCCCGGGUAAACGGACGUCCCGGCGGGUCUGCUGGCUUAAACUCUGGCGGGCCUGCCAAGUCCGCUUUAUACAGGCGAAAAAAGUAGAUAUGAACCCUUAUUGGCGCUCCUGCGAAAAGCAGGCACAAUCGGGUCAAUAACAGGUCAGUGAUGCCCUUAGAUGCCUUUGGCUGCACGCGCGCUACAAUGGGGAGAGCACCGGGUUUGAUCGGCCCCUAACGGGCGCAGAAAAUCCUGCUAAUACUCCUCUUAACCGGGACUGCGUCGAGUAUCUCGACUAUACGAACGUGGAAUUUCUAGUACUCGUUGUUCACCAGACAGCGGGGAUUC